rnacentral:ncRNA from 13 species
UUGUAAUAUGAAAGGAGAGACGUUUAACAUUCCCGUAGACAAGGAUGGAACACAUGUAAAUGAACACAUAUAAAUGGUAUCAUUGGCGAAUAAUCUUU